rnacentral:rRNA from 1 species
AAUCUUCCGCAAUGGACGAAAGUCUGACGGAGCAACGCCGCGUGAACGAUGAAGGCCUUCGGGUCGUAAAGUUCUGUUGUUAGGGAAGAACAAGUGCUAUUCGAACAGGGUGGCACCUUGACGGUACCUAACCAGAAAGCCACGGCUAACUACGUGCCAGCAGCCGCGGUAAUACGUAGGUGGCAAGCGUUGUCCGGAAUUAUUGGGCGUAAAGCGCGCGCAGGCGGUCUCUUAAGUCUGAUGUGAAAGCCCCCGGCUCAACCGGGGAGGGUCAUUGGAAACUGGGAGACUUGAGUGCAGAAGAGGAGAAUGGAAUUCCAUGUGUAGCGGUGAAAUGCGUAGAGAUAUGGAGGAAUACCAGUGGCGAAGGCGACUCUCUGGUCUGUAACUGACGCUGAGGCGCGAAAGCGUGGGGAGCAAACAGG